rnacentral:rRNA from 1 species
GAGCUAAAUAUAAUUAUAAUAUAUAGUUAUUAGAUUUGGUGUAGCAAAACCAUAACCAAAAUUAUAUUUAGGGGUGACAGGCCUCUCAAAAACUAGGAUAUCUUGAUUCCAAUAAAAUGUAUUUAGUGCAGUUAAUACAUUUAUUAAGUGUUUAGGCUUAAUAACAAUAUUAAUUUAUACACUACGGUAUUAUUACGUUUUAAUAAAUAAAUAUAUUACAACCAUAAUAUUCUUCUAUGAAUACUAUAGUUAGUAAUUGGAUACAAUAAAAUAAUAUAUAUUGUGGAUAAUGUUGGUAUUAGUAUUAUAUGUAAGUUUUUAUAAGGAACUCGGCAAAAGUGUUUCUCAACUGUUUAUCAAAAACAUAACUAUGUGUAUAUAUUCAUAGUGGUUUCUGCUCAAUGAUUUAUUAAAUAGCCGCAGUAUACUGACUGUGCAAAGGUAGCAUAAUCAAUUGGCUUGUAAUUGAAGUCUGGAAUGAAGGAAAGUAUGGGGAGCCACUGUCUCAAAAAAAAUAUGGAGAAUUUAUUUAUGAAGUGAAAAUCCUUCUACAUAAAAUAAGGGACGAGAAGACCCUAGAAAAUUUUAGUAAUAUUAGAUAUAUCUCUAGUAAUUUUUCGCUGGGGCGGCGGAGUAACAUUGAACUUACUUAUAUAACAUGCGACUUGUUUGGCAAUUGAUAAAUUUACUCUAGGGAUAACAGCAUAAUAUUUAAAAGUUUGUGACCUCGAUGUUGGACUAGGACAUAAUAACCUAAAAGGUUUUUUAUAGUGCUCUGUUCGAGCAUAAACUCCUACAUGAUCUGAGU